UACGUAGGGAGCGAGCGUUGUCCGGAAUUACUGGGCGUAAAGGGUGCGUAGGCGGCAUGGCAAGUCAGAUGUGAAAUCCCCGGGCUUAACUCGGGAGUUGCAUUUGAAACUGCUGUGCUUGAGUGCAGGAGAGGAAAGCGGAAUUCCUAGUGUAGCGGUGAAAUGCGUAGGUAUUAGGAGGAACACCAGUGGCGAAGGCGGCUUUCUGGACUGACCCUGACGCUGAGGUGCGAAAGCGUGGGUAGCAAACAGGAUUAGAUACCCU
rnacentral:rRNA from 1 species